rnacentral:rRNA from 1 species
GCCAUUGGUGGAUGCCUUGGCAGUUUGAGCCGAAGAAGGACGCGUGUUCGAGCGCGAAAACAUCGAUGAGUCCUUAAACAGACGUUAUCAAUCGAUGGUUUCCGAAUGGGGAAACCCCACCUUGCGAAAGCAAGGUGAAUACCCGUUUCGCAAGGAAGUUACGAGUUGGUGAGUUACGAGUUUGUAAAUUCAAUUAUUGACUUACAAACUUACAGACUUUCUGACUUACUGACUCCCUCGCGAAGCGGGUGUUGGGAACCUGGUGAACUGAAACAUCUAAGUAACCAGAGGAACAGAAAUCAUCAUGAGAUUCCGUAAGUAGCGGCGAGCGAAAACGGAACAGCCUAAACCCCGCCUUCGGGCGGGACUAUGCGGGACCGCAAUAUCCGAUGAAAUAUCGAUAAAAGAAUGAUCUGGAAAGAUCAGCCAUAGACGGUGACAGCCCAGUAUUUGACAUCGAUGUUUCCGGUAGCGGAUUCCCAAGUACCACGUGGCACGGCAAACCAUGUGGGAAACAGGGUCGGUCACGAUCCAAGGCUAAAUACUCAAACUGACCGAUAGUGAACUAGUACUGCGAA